GGGUUGUCAGGCAGCGGGCGAGGCGGCGGGCAGCUAGCAGCUGGCGGACGCGACCCGGAGGCGGUGGGGGUGCGGCUGGGCCAUGCCCGGUGGCGCGGCCUGAGCCCCUCCACCUGCUGCAAGCAUGAAGGACAGCGGGGACUCCAAGGACCAGCAACUCAUGGUGGCGCUUCGGGUCCGGCCCAUCAGCGUGGCAGAGCUGGAGGAAGGAGCUACCCUCAUCGCCCAUAAAGUGGAUGAGCAGGUAUGCAGGGGUCUGCAGCAGGAGCUGCAGGGCAGAGGUCUGCUCAGAUGGCUCAGCUCACCUGGUGAGGGCAGAAAGGGCCCCUGUGGCUUGCAGCACCAUCCUUCCUCUACUCACUGAACUCUUGGCUGUGCUGUUGAUGACACCACCAAGGAAGCCGGGGGCUCUUCUUCCAGGAAGCCUUCCUAGAUUGAUCCAAGCACAACUGGGAGCUUCCCUAGCCUGGAUGGGCCCUGAUCCUUUACCUUUCAUAUGCUCAUUGCUUGACUUUCCCACCCUAAUAUGCCUGCUACCCACAGAGCACAUAUAUAUAUGGUCGAGAGCUAAAGCUCGCCUCUAGGGUGUUACGUGUGGCAAAAUCCUUGGCUCUCUGUUUGCAAUCUUGGUCCUCAUGUCACCAGGAUGAGGAAGGCAGGGCACACGAGGCAAUAAGUGUUUAUCAAGUACCAGCAGCAUGCUGGGUACUGUGCUAGAAACUGGGAAACUGUGGUGAACAGAAAAGGCCCCGUCCUUUCUCCAUUACCUUAAGUCUAGUGUGGAGAGAUGAGGCAUUCUUCAAAGAAUUGCAUCACAAACAAACAUGAGUUUGCAGCUAACAAGGGCUGCAAAGAAAUGCUUAGUGGCAUGAGAGUAGGUAAGAAGGGGAUACGACCUAAACCUGGAGGUCAGGGAGGGCUUCCUUAAGAAACUGUGCUUGACACUUUGGGAGGCCAAGGAGGCCGGAUCACGAGGUCAAGAGAUCAAGACCAUCCUGGCCAACAUGGUGAAACCCAGUCUCUACUACAAAUACAAAAAAUUAGCUGGGUGUGGUGGCACGUACCUGUAGUCCCAGCUUCUCAGGAAGCUGAGGCAGGAUAAUCGCUUAAACCCAGGAGGUGGAGGUUGCAGUGAGCCGAGAUCACGCCAUUGCACUCCAGCCUGGGUGACAGAGCGGGACUGUGUCUCAAAAAAAAAAAAAAAAAAGA
rnacentral:sRNA from 1 species